rnacentral:rRNA from 1 species
CACGUAGGAGGCAAACGUUAUCCGGAUUUACUGGGCGUAAAGCGCGUGUAGGUGGUUCUGUAAGUAGGGCGUGAAAGCUCCCGGCUCAACUGGGAGAGGCCGUUCUAAACUGCAGAGCUAGAGGAUGGUAGAGGGAGGUGGAAUUCCAGGUGUAGCGGUGGAAUGCGCAGAUAUCUGGAGGAACACCAGUGGCGAAGGCGGCCUCCUGGACCAUUCCUGACACUCAGACGCGAAAGCUAGGGUAGCAAACGGGAUUAGAUACCCGGGGUAGUCCCU